GGCUGUGCCUCAGUGGUGGAGCGCUCCCUUAGCAUGCGUGGGGCACUGGGUUCGAUCCUCAGCACCA
rnacentral:tRNA from 1 species